rnacentral:ncRNA from 2 species
ACAAACACGCCGAUGAACAAAGUAAACCUUCUGGAAAUGCCUAGAGAGUGUCAGUUUGGUGCAAUGACAUCAUGACCAGAUCGUUGAAAAUCAGUUCUGAGUGGCAGUGACGAGCUUGAUGUUAGUUGCUGUUGGUUGCUCCCAUUAUUGAGCCGAAGUAUCGCAAGUGGCCGGCCACUUGCCGUACUUUUUAAGGUGAUUCGUCGUAAGGCAGUCACAAAGCUAAGGUGGUAACACGUGUUCAAACGUCCUGGUU